rnacentral:rRNA from 1 species
GAUGAACGCUGGCGGCGUGCCUAAUACAUGCAAGUCGAGCGAACAGACGAGGAGCUUGCUCCUCUGACGUUAGCGGCGGACGGGUGAGUAACACGUGGAUAACCUACCUAUAAGACUGGGAUAACUUCGGGAAACCGGAGCUAAUACCGGAUAAUAUAUUGAACCGCAUGGUUCAAUAGUGAAAGACGGUUUUGCUGUCACUUAUAGAUGGAUCCGCGCCGCAUUAGCUAGUUGGUAAGGUAACGGCUUACCAAGGCGACGAUGCGUAGCCGACCUGAGAGGGUGUCAGCCCACACUGAACCUGAGAAACGGUCCAGACUCCUACGGGAGGCAGCAGUAGGGAAUCUUCCGCAAUGGGCGAAAGCCUGACGGAGCAACGCCGCGUGAGUGAUGAAGGUCUCGGAUCGUAAAACUCUGUUAUUAGGGAAGAACAAAUGUGUAAGUAACUAUGCACGUCUUGACGGUACCUAAUCAGAAAGCCACGGCUAACUACGUG